rnacentral:rRNA from 1 species
UACGGAGGGUGCAAGCGUUAAUCGGAAUUACUGGGCGUAAAGCGCGCGUAGGUUGUUAGUUAAGCGAGAUGUGAAAGCCCCGGGCUUAACCUGGGAAUUGCGUUUCGAACUGGCUAGCUAGAGUACGGUAGAGGGUGGUGGAAUUUCCGGUGUAGCGGUGAAAUGCGUAGAGAUCGGAAGGAACAUCAGUGGCGAAGGCGACCACCUGGACUGAUACUGACACUGAGGUGCGAAAGCGUGGGGAGCAAAC